rnacentral:rRNA from 1 species
UACGUAGGGGGCUAGCGUUGUCCGGAAUCAUUGGGCGUAAAGAGCGCGUAGGCGGCCAGAUAAGUCCGGUGUGAAAGUCACAGGCUCAACCUGUGAAUGCCGCUGGAAACUGUCUGGCUAGAGUCCGGGAGGGGCGAGUGGAAUUCCUGGUGUAGCGGUGAAGUGCGCAGAUAUCAGGAGGAACACCAAUGGCGAAGGCAGCUCUCUGGGACGGUACUGACGCUGAGACGCGAAAGCGUGGGGAGCGAACAGG